CCUACGGGCGGCAGCAGUGAGGAAUAUUGGUCAAUGGACGCGAGCCUGAACCAGCCAUGUAGCGUGCAGGAUGACUGCCCUACGGGUUGUAAACUGCUUUUAUACAAGGAUAAAGUGAGGCACGUGUGCCUUUUUGUAUGUACCUUAUGAAUAAGGAUCGGCUAACUCCGUGCCAGCAGCCGCGGUAAUACGGAGGAUCCGAGCGUUAUCCGGAUUUAUUGGGUUUAAAGGGUGCGUAGAUGGGUUGUUAAGUCAGUUGUGAAAGUUUGGGGCUCAACCGUGAAAUUGCAAUUGAUACUGGUAGCCUUGAGUAUAGUUGUGGUAGGCGGAAUGCGUGGUGUAGCGGUGAAAUGCUUAGAUAUCACGCAGAACACCGAUUGCGAAGGCAGCUUACUAAACUGCCACUGACAUUGAGGCUCGAAAGUGUGGGUAGCAAACAGGAUUAGAUACCCUUGUAGUC
rnacentral:rRNA from 1 species